UACGAAGGGUGCUAGCGUUGUUCGGAAUCAUUGGGCGUAAAGCGUGCGUAGGCGGCUUAACAAGUCAGCUGUGAAAGCCCAGGGCUUAACCCUGGAAUUGCAGUUGAAACUGUUUUGCUAGAGUAUGGAGCGGGAUAGUGGAAUUCCCGGUGUAGCAGUGAAAUGCGUAGAGAUCGGGAGGAACACCAGUGGCGAAGGCGGCUACCUGGACCAGCACUGACACUGAGGCACGAAAGCGUGGGGAGCAAACAGG
rnacentral:rRNA from 1 species